rnacentral:rRNA from 1 species
CCUACGGGAGGCAGCAGUGGGGAAUCUUCCGCAAUGGGCGAAAGCCUGACGGAGCAACGCCGCGUGAUCGAAUGAAGGCCUUCGGGUUGUAAAGAUCUGUUGACAGGGACGAAUAAGCAAUGCAAAUAGUUUUGUGUCUGACGGUACCUGUUUAGAAAGCUCCGGCUAACUACGUGCCAGCAGCCGCGGUAAGACGUAGGGAGCAAGCGUUGGCCGGAAUUACUGGGGGGAAGGGGCGCGUAGGUGGGCGCUUAAGUCAGGUGUGAAAACGACGGGCUCAACCUGGAGACUGCACUUGAAACUGGGUGUCUUGAGGGCAGGAGAGGAAAGUGGAAUGCCUAGUGUAGCGGUGAAAUGCGUAGAUAUUAGGAGGAACACCAGUGGCGAAGGCGACUUUCUGGACUGUACCUGACGCUGAGGCGCGAAAGCGUGGGUAGCGAACGGGAUUAGAUACCCUGGUAGUC